UGGGGAAUAUUGCGCAAUGGGCGAAAGCCUGACGCAGCGACGCCGCGUGAGGGAUGAAGGUCUUCGGAUCGUAAACCUCUGUCAGAAGGGAAGAACGGCACCCGUGCUAAUCAGCGGGUGAUUGACGGUACCUUCAAAGGAAGCACCGGCUAACUCCGUGCCAGCAGCCGCGGUAAUACGGAGGGUGCAAGCGUUAAUCGGAAUUACUGGGCGUAAAGCGCGCGUAGGCGGUUUUGUAAGUUGGGGGUGAAAUCCCACGGCUCACCCGUGGAACUGCCCUUGAUACUGCAAGACUAGAAUCCGGGAGAGGGUGGCGGAAUUCCAGGUGUAGGAGUGAAAUCCGUAGAUAUCUGGAGGAACAUCAGUGGCGAAGGCGGCCACCUGGACCGGUAUUGACGCUGAGGUGCGAAAGCGUGGGGAGCAAACA
rnacentral:rRNA from 1 species